CUUCUUCAUAUUGUCCCUUUAAUAUUACUAUUGAAAGGAAAUUUAUUCAUUGGAUAAGU
rnacentral:tRNA from 1 species